GUGCUGCUAAUUUUCUCAAUUUCUUCCAGAAAUGGGAAAAUUUAUCUAUAUUAGGAAAUGUGAUCUUCCUUUCUUCAACCAUACUGUCCUGAGAAUGUGCUCCAGAUCUGCGCCAUGGAACACAGGGGAAGGCAAAGUCCUGAGACAGAACAAAGGGAGAAGAUGCAAGGAUCCAGUAGUUUAGCCGAUUUUGUACUGAAGCAGCUCUGAUGGACCAAAACCAAAGUUUUCAAGGCAGAGUUGCCAAAUUUGCCAAUGCUGAUCUGGAAGUCAAAUACCCAGGUGUUUUGAAGAGUGAAAAUGCUGAAAAAGCAGGGUGACAAGAUCAGAAUCCCCUUGACUUUGCUGUGGCAGCUGCUGCUUGGGCUGCACACCCAGCUGAGGAAGCAGCACAGGAAAGGGUGCUCAGAGUAGUUCCUGCAGCUGAAGAAAGAGCCUACGCCAAACUCAGGACUCGCCUGUGGAUCACCACAUUGCUUUUGGAGGAGAUUUUUAAGGAGCUGUGGGACUUCAGACUCGAAGGAUUAUAUCAUGAUGAAAUCAGGCAAAACUGCUCAUCAGAUGACCAGAAUUUGCAGUUUCCAUCUGCCCCAAGCUGGACUUUGGGCUAGAGGAGUAGCUGCAGGCUGCUGGUCUCCUAAGAAGCACAGGGCUUGGGGUCUAUCUGUGCCACAGCACCAAGAGUUCAUUUAUCUCUCUCUGUCUCCCUGAAGCAUGCUUCUCUCGCCGCAUAACUCAGCACCAUGGACAGAGGUUCUCCCUAAUCCUGGAAAUGCUGUUGGACCUAUUAUCAAGCAUCAGAGACUUCUGAAAAGCCAAGCAGGUCAUGGCAGCAUGGGUCCAUCCUGCAGGUCUGUGGCAGCUGGUAAAUUGCUUUCAGAGGAGACUGUGUGUGCAAAGUGUCCCCAUUCAGGAUCUCUUGGGAACCAAGUUUUCUGGCUUUCCAGGGAUUUCAAAAGGAAUUAAAAUUAAUAGGAGUUUCCUUACAGUUCAUCCACACUCCAAAAAGAAAUUUGUUGAGACUCAGACAGGAGGAAGUCCUGCUUCUUUUCAUGUUUGUCAGGACUACAAAGUGGUCUUGGCCCUGGCAUGAGAAAGCUUGAAUUAUAUGGGAUUUUUGAUUCCCACAGCUUCAGUCACUGGUGGAGUCUCUGCUCUGCCCACACAGGGAAGGUUUUAACCCAAGAUCUAUAAUCCUGUGCCAUAGCGUCAGCCUCAGGAAACAGAUGCAACAGUUAAGCCACAGUCAUAGACAAGGAGGACCACCUGCUCUCAGGCAGCAAAGGGCAGCAGCCCUGCAGGGCUCUUCCACACCCUUAGAGCCCCUAAUUGUCCUCAGCUGGGCCUGCCUACUGCUAUUUAAGCUCCAGCUGAGGAGCAUCAUCUGUUAUUGCUUCUCCUGCUUGGCUGCUGGAGGAGUGGGGCUUCCUCUUCGAGGCUGACUUCAUCUUUGAGGCUGGCUUCAUGGCCACUGUCCUGCAUCACACUGUGUGCUGGACCAAUACGUGUAUGAGGACAGGAUGAUCAUCUUCCUGGUGGAAUGCAGAAGUGAAAUACU